rnacentral:rRNA from 1 species
CCCUUAGAUGUUCUGGGCCGCACGCGCGCUACACUGAUGCAUUCAACGAGUCUAAAACCUGCUCUGAUAGGGGUGGGUAAUCUUUUGAAUGUGCAUCGUGAUUGGGAUAGAUGAUUGCAAUUUUUCAUCUUCAACGAGGAAUGCCUAGUAAACGCAAGUCAUCAGCUUGCGUCGAUUACGUCCCUGCCCUUUGUACACACCGCCCGUCGCUCCUACCGAUUGGGUGUGCUGGUGAAAUGUUCGGAUCGGCCGUUUGUCGCGGUUUCCGCGUCAUGUGGCUGAGAAGUUCAUUAAACCCUCCCACCUAGAGGAAGGAGAAGUCGUAACA